rnacentral:misc_RNA from 1 species
AGGGUUUUGAAAUUGAAGAGUGAAAAGGGGAAAUCUGAUGAGUUUGGUAGGAAUUAGAAAGGCAUGGUGGGUUUUGGGUAUUAAGUAGAGAGAGUAUUUGCAUGGAACAAAGAAUGUUCCAAUUCUGGUUUUUCGCCUCCCUCCAAACUAACCCGCCAAAAAAUAUCAACGAUGUCUCUCUUUCUCUUUUGAGCAAAAUUGUUA